UAAUGAGCAAAUAAGAAUGUACUUAUUAUACUACGCAAUGCUAUGGUUCAUUACAGGGCAUUAAUUGUCUAUUAUUAUUGCUCGAAGCAAAAGGGCAUCAAUAGUACAACGUGACUAAAACUCAUCGUUCUUACUGGGAACUGACGACUGAUACCUCAGUUCAUCAUCAUUAUUAGAGACUUUAAUUCGUUUUUUUGGGGUUGAAUUUUUAUGAUAAAUUGUCACAUUUUUUUAUGCUAGUUUGCCUAUCUAACACGAAGCUCGUCAUUUAUUAGGGUUGGGACCGAGAUGACCAGCAAGGAACCCGCCAAGGCGGAGUUGGCCCUUACCCUGAUUGCGUACCAUGAUACUCCUGUUGUCCCGCUGUAUGAUGCUCACAGUGUGCACCGGGGCAAUUUCCUUUUGAGAACAGGGUAACUUUCAUCAAAGCACGCCGCGUGACACAAAAGGAUAUAAAACAAGGGACUUCAUAUAAUGCAACAAUGCAAAGGCAUUCUCAUUCACACAUCUACGGUACCAGGGGGAGGAAAUGAGCGAGAGAGAGUAGAGAUCAGAGAGCGAGAGGGAAAGGCCCUUCUUCCUUUUCUCAUUCCUAUUGUUAUUUAGAGAGAGAGAGAGAGAGUGGCCCUUCCUUUUACUUGUUGUCAUUGUCAUUCUCAUUAGAGAGACUGAGGCCAUUAAAGAGACCGAGGCCUCUGCGCCUGAGUUGUUUGUUGUAAUACUUCGUUGAGGGGCGCCAUUCCCUCAUUCCAAAUAUUCUGCUAAGUUUGCAAUUUGUAUGUUAAGAAGUUAUAUAUUAGAAGAAGAAUUAGAAGAAGAGAUGGCAAAUGAGACAGAGGAGGACAGAGGGCCGCUGCUUCCUAGAGAUGCAGAGAUGAGGAGGGCGGCAGAGGAGCUUGCAUGUGAGGUUUCCCAGAGGGGUAUUGAUUGCGAGGACAGGGCUCGCUUCGAUAAGGCCUUGAACCCUGCUUUUGCCUUCCUCUUUGAUGCCCCUGACCCUAACUCUGACGCUGCCAUUGCCUCUCGCUACUACUCUUGGCUCAAGAAGACCUACCAAUGUCGGUCUGGGGAGGUUUCCAUGGAUGAUCAUGAGGAAGAAGGACAAGAAGAAGAACUGGAAGAGGAAGAAGGAGAAGAAGAAGAAGAAGAACUGGAAGAGGAAGGAGAAGAACUGGAAGAGGAACAAGGAGAAGAGGCAGAAGAAGAAGAUAAUGCAUCUCCAUCUCCUGCAGCUGAAUCAGAUGCCUACCAUGAAGUUGAGGUGAAAGGAUGUGAAGAGGUCCGAAAAGUUGCUUCAACUGAUCCUUCAGAUAAGCUACAAGUGAAACGAAACAAUACCACUUGUGUCACUGAUCAGUGCAGUGACCUUUUGGAUUUGCGUCAACAUGGAGUUUAUGCCUUGGAGGGUAAUGGGAUAUCAGAAAUCACUUCUGAUAAGGGAAAAAUCAGCAGAAGUCUUGCUGGUAAGAAAAGGAGCUUUGGAGACUCUUCUUGGAAUGAGCAACAAGAUAAUAAGGAAGCCUUUAAAGGAACUCAAGUGCUUAAAGAUGAUAAUCAUGAUGGAGUGGCCGGUAAAUCUUCAUUUAAGAGCCAGGAAAUGGCUGAUUCUCCAACUAGUUCCAAUGACAGUGACAGUGAUGGAGUUCUUUACUCAAAAAGAGACCUGAAAGCUCUGCAUACAAAACCAAACAUGGGGUUAUCUGAGGACUUAAAGCUUGAAUGUUCAAGCUUGCAUGUGCCCCCACAACGACUGAGAAGCAGGUCUCCUGAUGCGGAAGAAUUUGGGGGCAGAAAUAAACGAUCACCGCUAGUAUGUGAUUUUUUUGCUAGAGGUUGGUGCAUCAAGGGAAGCUCCUGUAAAUUCCUUCAUCAGAAAGAUGAUGUUAAUGAAGCCAGCCAGGUGACCAAAGGGAAAACAAUUGAGGCAAUGAGUUGGAGAGGAGACACUAGUGAUGGUGCAGGGGAGAGAAGAGCAGUAGACACAUCUAAAUAUUCCAUUUUCUCAGAACAGUUAUCCUCUUCUCAGGGUGUUUCUUUAACCCAUUCUUUAGCAGAAAGGAGUCAGUUGUUAUCCCCUCAAGGUGAUAAUGCUUCUACUGGCACUAUGUUCAGGAAAGAUUAUGGAUCUUUGACCUCGACUUAUGAUGGUUUCCAUCCGUUGAACUUUCCUGGAGAGCGCUCUAGGUUUGUCUCAUCCAAUCUGGAGGCUUCUAGAGAAAAUCCAAGGCAAGAUUCUUUUGUGGAUAAUUUCAGGCCAAUUAUCUUCGACAUGCAAGAUAGACACUUCCCACCAAUUUCUAUUGGAGGAGAUUUACAAUGUUAUGAUCGACCUUCAGUGGUUCCAUCUAUUCAUGAGAAGCUUGGAGACAAUAUGUACCAAAGGAUUCCAAAAGGGGAGUAUAACCAUAAUAGCACAUUUCUCAGCAGGUAUCCUUCUCAUUACGUUCAUGGUGACUUCGGAAGACCAGAUCCUUCCUUGAAUUGGAAUAGAUCAAAUCCUGCAUCUUUGUUGGCUGGUUUAUCCAUGCCAUUGGUUGGAGAUGAUGGUAGGUACAAGCCCUUCAAGUGCGAAGGAAAUUCCUUGGAUUUGACCAUUCCAAAGUGGUCAAGUCGGUUUUCAAUGCAUGAUGUGCCUAUGCCUGGUCUGAAUAGUUUUCUUCGUACAAGUUUCAGUUCCAAUAUCUCAUACACAAAUCCAGCAAUUACUGGGCCAGGAUCUUCAUCAACUAUUGGUUCUCCAUUUAGUGUUUUCAAGCUUCUUGAUAGUCCAAAUAUUCCGAAUAGUAAGGCGAGGUCAUUUUUGCCCUGCUCUUUCAGUAUGACUGGAAAAUCUCCUCCAUAUGGCUUGAGGCCUGAAGGAGAGACCACAUCCUUGCAGAAUAUAGAACAGGCCUCCCCAAUCCCUGGUGGUUCUAGAACUUAUUCCUAUUCCAAUUCUCGGGAGCUAUCUGGUUCACUUCGGUCAUCUUUUUCUCAUACCAUGGCAAGAUUUUCAUCUCCAAGUAGCCAGUAUGAUCCGAUUCUUGAUAGCAUUGAGCCAUCUGGUGGAGAACCACAUGCUAGUUUUGUGGCCUCUAGUUUUAGUGAAUCAAAAUGUACUGAGAGUAUAUCACAAAAGCUGGCAAAUGGAAAUCGUGCCAUGCUUGAAAGCUGGAGCCCAGGAUACAAUGCUAAGACAGACAUGGAUUCUUUCUAUAGAGUCAAUGGUGAUAGAGUAGAUAUUCAAAAAGCUGAGACAGCUGAGGAAACUCCUUUAGCUGAUGCAAAAGGUACAACGUCUGAGCCCAAGGAGGAUAAAAAAUCUAAUCCUAAUGUUGCCGCUGCUGGUCAUGCUGAAAAUGCUGGUGAUUCUGCAAAUGCAGCAGACGGGAACCGGCAUGAUAAGGAUUCAAAAUUGUUAAAAUGUUUUCGUGCUGCUCUUGUGGACUUUGUGAAAGAAUUGUUGAAACCCUUUUGGCGUGAAGGUCGGUUGAGUAAAGAUGCCCACAAAACAGUUGUAAAGAAAGCAGUUGAGAAGGUCCUUAGUGCAAUGCACCCCAAUCAAAUACCUGGCACUACUGAGUCAAUUAAUCAGUAUCUUUCGACAUCCCGAACCAAAAUCAGGAAACUUGUUGAGGGGUACGUGGCCAAGUAUGCCAAAUCUUAAGUGACACUUUGGACUUAUGCUUUGUACAGAGACCUGCAUGCUAGUUUUAACCUUAAAACCUUCAACUUUCUUGUUCCAACAACUUCUGAUGAGAUGGUGGUUGACAGUGCCAGUGACAUUGUUUCCAAUAUGAUCAAAACCCGAUUCUUGUGGGAUGACUACUGAGUGAUGAGGGUUCUUUUUCGGAAUACUCUUGUUUCAGCAGUCUUUAUGAUAUAUUUCUGCCAAAGACGCGAGGAGGACACUCUGGUAAGGGUGCUUUGAUGGAUAUCUGAGAUUUUAACUUAUUCGGAAUAGCAGUGAGAUGAUUGUAACAUCAAUGAUGGUACUACGGUUGAUGAGUUCAAGGCUAUGAAUUGGGCAUGGUGUGAUAGUGGGGAGGUCACCAAUUUACUUAUGCAGGUGGAUAACUGGAAGAGCACGUUCUCUAGCAGCAUGGUGGACUAUGAAGGCAAGGAACUAGAAUGAAGAAUGGGAUUAUCUCUUUGAGGGAAACUUUGAACAGGAGAAAGGACACAGAAGUUGAAAAGAAAUUAAAAUGAGGGAACUAUGAGCAAGAGUACGAGUCUUGAGGGGCUGCAGAUGCAUAAUUGUACGGAUCAUGGGCUUUAGCUAUUGAUGUGGUGGGAAAGGGACGACAAGCUUCAAGAACAUCUGGUAUGAUGAAGUAGAAAAAUAAGUCUGAUUUGCAGAAUAUUCGGGGGUGUUGGGGAUGCAAACCUAGUCUUAACAUCUCUCUUGGUGUUUCGUUUAUGUUUGCCUUUCUAUGUUUCUCAUGUUCUAUUCAUAAUCGGUUUAUGAGAAACUUUGAGUUACUCGUUAUAGUUUUAGUCUCACAUCCAAAAUCUAUUCUUGUAAGCUCUUCCCUUUAACUACCUUAGUGUUUUAUUGUUUGUCCACUCUUAGGCAUGAUGUGGCAUUCAUAGUUUCAGCUCUUUAUUCCAUUAGACUUCGUCGUUUUCCUUGUUCGAUUUUUUUAAGUUAUUUCUUGAUUUUAUUUUUUUUAAUGUAAUUUUUACAUGGUGAAGGAA